rnacentral:rRNA from 1 species
CCGGCGAGGGGAGUGAAAAAGAACCUGAAACCGUGUACGUACAAGCAGUGGGAGCACGCUUAGGCGUGUGACUGCGUACCUUUUGUAUAAUGGGUCAGCGACUUAUAUUCUGUAGCAAGGUUAACCGAAUAGGGGAGCCGAAGGGAAACCGAGUCUUAACUGGGCGUUAAGUUGCAGGGUAUAGACCCGAAACCCGGUGAUCUAGCCAUGGGCAGGUUGAAGGUUGGGUAACACUAACUGGAGGACCGAACCGACUAAUGUUGAAAAAUUAGCGGAUGACUUGUGGCUGGGGGUGAAAGGCCAAUCAAACCGGGAGAUAGCUGGUUCUCCCCGAAAGCUAUUUAGGUAGCGCCUCGUGAAUUCAUCUCCGGGGGUAGAGCACUGUUUCGGCAAGGGGGUCAUCCCGACUUACCAACCCGAUGCAAACUGCGAAUACCGGAGAAUGUUAUCACGGGAGACACACGGCGGGUGCUAACGUCCGUCGUGAAGAGGGAAACAACCCAGACCGCCAGCUAAGGUCCCAAAGUCAUGGUUAAGUGGGAAACGAUGUGGGAAGGCCCAGACAGCCAGGAUGUUGGCUUAGAAGCAGCCAUCAUUUAAAGAAAGCGUAAUAGCUCACUGGUCGAGUCGGCCUGCGCGGAAGAUGUAACGGGGCUAAACCAUGCACCGAAGCUGCGGCAGCGACGCUGAUGCGUUGUUGGGUAGGGGAGCGUUCUGUAAGCCUGUGAAGGUGUGCUGUGAGGCAUGCUGGAGGUAUCAGAAGUGCGAAUGCUGACAUAAGUAACGAUAAAGCGGGUGAAAAGCCCGCUCGCCGGAAGACCAAGGGUUCCUGUCCAACGUUAAUCGGGGCAGGGUGAGUCGACCCCUAAGGCGAGGCCGAAAGGCGUAGUCGAUGGGAAACAGGUUAAUAUUCCUGUACUUGGUGUUACUGCGAAGGGGGGACGGAGAAGGCUAUGUUGGCCGGGCGACGGUUGUCCCGGUUUAAGCGUGUAGGCUGGUUUUCCAGGCAAAUCCGGAAAAUCAAGGCUGAGGCGUGAUGACGAGGCACUACGGUGCUGAAGCAACAAAUGCCCUGCUUCCAGGAAAAGCCUCUAAGCAUCAGGUAACAUCAAAUCGUACCCCAAACCGACACAGGUGGUCAGGUAGAGAAUACCAAGGCGCUUGAGAGAACUCGGGUGAAGGAACUAGGCAAAAUGGUGCCGUAACUUCGGGAGAAGGCACGCUGAUAUGUAGGUGAAGCGACUUGCUCGUGGAGCUGAAAUCAGUCGAAGAUACCAGCUGGCUGCAACUGUUUAUUAAAAACACAGCACUGUGCAAACACGAAAGUGGACGUAUACGGUGUGACGCCUGCCCGGUGCCGGAAGGUUAAUUGAUGGGGUCAGCGCAAGCGAAGCUCUUGAUCGAAGCCCCGGUAAACGGCGGCCGUAACUAUAACGGUCCUAAGGUAGCGAAAUUCCUUGUCGGGUAAGUUCCGACCUGCACGAAUGGCGUAAUGAUGGCCAGGCUGUCUCCACCCGAGACUCAGUGAAAUUGAACUCGCUGUGAAGAUGCAGUGUACCCGCGGCAAGACGGAAAGACCCCGUGAACCUUUACUAUAGCUUGACACUGAACAUUGAGCCUUGAUGUGUAGGAUAGGUGGGAGGCUUUGAAGUGUGGACGCCAGUCUGCAUGGAGCCGGCCUUGAAAUACCACCCUUUAAUGUUUGAUGUUCUAACGUUGACCCGUGAUCCGGGUUGCGGACAGUGUCUGGUGGGUAGUUUGACUGGGGCGGUCUCCUCCUAAAGAGUAACGGAGGAGCACGAAGGUUGGCUAAUCCUGGUCGGACAUCAGGAGGUUAGUGCAAUGGCAUAAGCCAGCUUGACUGCGAGCGUGACGGCGCGAGCAGGUGCGAAAGCAGGUCAUAGUGAUCCGGUGGUUCUGAAUGGAAGGGCCAUCGCUCAACGGAUAAAAGGUACUCCGGGGAUAACAGGCUGAUACCGCCCAAGAGUUCAUAUCGACGGCGGUGUUUGGCACCUCGAUGUCGGCUCAUCACAUCCUGGGGCUGAAGUAGGUCCCAAGGGUAUGGCUGUUCGCCAUUUAAAGUGGUACGCGAGCUGGGUUUAGAACGUCGUGAGACAGUUCGGUCCCUAUCUGCCGUGGGCGCUGGAGAACUGAGGGGGGCUGCUCCUAGUACGAGAGGACCGGAGUGGACGCAUCACUGGUGUUCGGGUUGUCAUGCCAAUGGCACUGCCCGGUAGCUAAAUGCGGAAGAGAUAAGUGCUGAAAGCAUCUAAGCACGAAACUUGCCCCGAGAUGAGUUCUCCCUGACUCCUUGAGAGUCCUGAAGGAACGUUGAAGACGACGACGUUGAUAGGCCGGGUGUGUAAGCGCAGCGAUGCGUUGAGCUAACCGGUACUAAUGAACCGUGAG